CAACCUGUAAAGGAGAGAGGCGCCCAAGGUGAGGCUGAUGACUGGGAUGAAGUCGUAACAAGGUAGCC
rnacentral:rRNA from 1 species